GAUGGAAGAACGCAGCGAAAUGCGAUAAGUAGUGUGAAUUGCAGAAUUCAGUGAAUCAUCGAAUCUUUGAACGCACAUUGCGCCCCUUGGUAUUCCAUGGGGCAUGCCUGUUCGAGCGUCAUUUGUACCUUCAAGCUUUGCUUGGUGUUGGGUGUUUGUCUCGCCUUUGCGUGUAGACUCGCCAUAAAAUAAUUGGCAGCCGGCGUAUUGAUUUCGGAGCGCAGUACAUCUCGCGCUUUGCACUCAUAACGACAGCGUCCAAAAGUACAUUUUACACUCUUGACCUCGGAUCAGGUAGGGAUACCCGCUGAACUUAAGCAUAUCAAUAAGCGGAGGA
rnacentral:misc_RNA from 1 species